rnacentral:misc_RNA from 1 species
GAAAUUGCUUCAUCUCAAAGAGUGAAUUUCAGAUUUACGAGUGCUGUUCUGAGAGGGAAAAGUUGGGAAAUUCCUUUGCCUCCGUUUGGACAGGGUUGGUUCAAAUCUGUUUACCUAGAUGAUGAUUUGCGGAUUGCUAAUGAUGUUCGUGGAGAUUAUUUAAUAGUUGCACGUGCUCCUUAUAAUUGGUCAGAGUGAAGGGUAACAAUUUGAUGGUGCAUGUAGAUCGCUGAACUCAAC